rnacentral:rRNA from 1 species
GCAAAGGUAGCAUAAUCAUUUGCCCUUUAAUUGGGGGCUUGUAUGAAUGGAUCAACUCUAUCUAACUGUCUUAUCAAAACUAAUGAAAAUUUCCAUUCAGUUGAAGAUGAUUGAAUUGACCUAAAGGACCAGAAGACCCUAUAGAGCUUCGGCACUAGCUCUCCUCUAUUAAUCUAACUGCCUUUGUUGGGGCGACAAUACAACCUUUCUUUUAUUUUACUUAUAACCUACAAGUUAAAUAUCAACCUAGAAUUUCUAAAUUAGGAAAAGCUACCUUAGGGAUAACAGUCUAAUUUUUCUUAAUAGCCCACAUUGACAGAAAAGUUUGGCAC